ACUUUGUGUUGUAAGCUGUUGAAGGAGCGAUUUGCGCCUUUUUAAGUGUUAAUUUUGGGUAGCCGGCUUGUAUCGGCUUGAAAGCUGAAAAUUAUGCCUCUCAUCAUAAUAGCAUUAAUUUUUGUAAUUGCAAUGUGUAUGUUUAGAUUGUAAGUGAAGCUUUUAAUAAUGAUUUUCUUAAAAAACAUGAUUUUAUAUGCUGUCAGUGAGUUUUUUAUUGAAAAAAGUGCUUAAAAUUUUAAAAAAGUCUCCUAUUUCAUCAAGAAAAGUACACUGAUUCACAAUCAAUACAUUUAUUUGGGCCUUUUGCUGAUAUAUUGGUGAAUUUCGCAUGCAAUGAUACCAGUUUUUGCCAUGAAAGUUACGCGUAACAAUAAUUGGAGACGCAAAAUCAGCUGUCGUCACUUAGACUAAAAAUCAUGCAUUCCGACUUGACUGCGGCCAAUUUAGUCACCGCUUUAAAUGGCCAUUUUAAGGCCUUUACCCCCAUCCGAAUGCACUGAAAUUGCAUAUUCAUUGUGGAAAUAGUUGAAAUCUCAUGUGGAGAAAGUUUGAAAAAGAUAGGACAAAGUUGAGUUCCCUUAAAUUUAAAAAGCACAUUUACUGCAAUGUCAAGGUCACAUGGAUUCGUCUGCAAGCGAGACAAGUAGAAAAUGAAUUUUAAUGAAUGUUUUGAUGAUUUGGGUGCUAAAAUAGAUGAGAGUUGUCAAUAUUUUGGUCCAAAUGGAUGUUUUAGGUGGUUUUGGACUGUUCCGGAUGGGUGGGGGACCUGGUAUGGACAAGUAAGGGUAACAUUUCCAACAAAUCUUAAAUGGAAAUAUUAUUAUGUCCAUAGAUUGAAGUUUCAGGUGGAGAGCAAGAUGAAAAAUAUGCAAAAUUACAUGCAUGCAACCCAUUUAUGCCAUUUUUCUCUUUGUUUGUAGGCAUGACCGUUUGUCAUUGAGCUGUAGAUGGUCAACAAUCCGCUAGCUGUCUUGCUCUGACUGGUGCACUGGACAUGAUUUCAAUAGUCAGCCAGACCAUGAUUGAGCUUAAGGGUUGUGCUGCGGAUGCAGCCUGUGCAGUUCCGGGAGAAAGUCACUGUCUCGGGCAAUGCGGUCUGGUAUCAGGUCUGGAUGAUCCUUGCCUGACUGCGGGUUUGUGUACACCUCAAUCCGACUCUGUGUCCUGAACAGAGGCCGCAGUGGUGCAGCGCUUGUGGACGAUCCAUCAACAUCCUGAAAGGUCAACACUACACCAAGCUGGGAAAAUUGAUCCUGAUAGUCAUCCCCAGGCCUGACCGUUUGUCCUUGAGCUGUAGAUGGUCAACAAUCCGCUAGCUGUCUUGCUCUGACUGGUGCACUGGACAUGAUUUCAAUAGUCAGCCAGACCAUGAUUGAGCUUAAGGGUUGUGCUGCGGAUGCAGCCUGUGCAGUUCCGGGAGAAAGUCACUGUCUCGGGCAAUGCGGUCUGGUAUCAGGUCUGGAUGAUCCUUGCCUGACUGCGGGUUUGUGUACACCUCAAUCCGACUCUGUGUCCUGAACAGAGGCCGCAGUGGUGCAGCGCUUGUGGACGAUCCAUCAACAUCCUGAAAGGUCAACACUACACCAAGCUGGGAAAAUUGAUCCUGAUAGUCAUCCCCAGGCCUGACCGUUUGUCCUUGAGCCGUAGAUGGUCAACAAUCCGCUAGCUGUCUUGCUCUGACUGGUGCACUGGACAUGAUUUCAAUAGUCAGCCAGACCAUGAUUGAGCUUAAGGGUUGUGCUGCGGAUGCAGCCUGUGCAGUUCCGGGAGAAAGUCACUGUCUCGGGCAAUGCGGUCUGGUAUCAGGUCUGGAUGAUCCUUGCCUGACUGCGGGUUUGUGUACACCUCAAUCCGACUCUGUGUCCUGAACAGAGGCCGCAGUGGUGCAGCGCUUGUGGACGAUCCAUCAACAUCCUGAAAGGUCAACACUACACCAAGCUGGGAAAUUGAUCCUGAUAGUCAUCCCCAGGCCUGACCGUUUGUCCUUGAGCCGUAGAUGGUCAACAAUCCGCUAGCUGUCUUGCUCUGACUGGUGCACUGGACAUGAUUUCAAUAGUCAGCCAGACCAUGAUUGAGCUUAAGGGUUGUGCUGCGGAUGCAGCCUGUGCAGUUCCGGGAGAAAGUCACUGUCUCGGGCAAUGCGGUCUGGUAUCAGGUCUGGAUGAUCCUUGCCUGACUGCGGGUUUGUGUACACCUCAAUCCGACUCUGUGUCCUGAACAGAGGCCGCAGUGGUGCAGCGCUUGUGGACGAUCCAUCAACAUCCUGAAAGGUCAACACUACACCAAGCUGGGAAAAUUGAUCCUGAUAGUCAUCCCCAGGCCUGACCGUUUGUCCUUGAGCCGUAGAUGGUCAACAAUCCGCUAGCUGUCUUGCUCUGACUGGUGCACUGGACAUGAUUUCAAUAGUCAGCCAGACCAUGAUUGAGCUUAAGGGUUGUGCUGCGGAUGCAGCCUGUGCAGUUCCGGGAGAAAGUCACUGUCUCGGGCAAUGCGGUCUGGUAUCAGGUCUGGAUGAUCCUUGCCUGACUGCGGGUUUGUGUACACCUCAAUCCGACUCUGUGUCCUGAACAGAGGCCGCAGUGGUGCAGCGCUUGUGGACGAUCCAUCAACAUCCUGAAAGGUCAACACUACACCAAGCUGGGAAUAUUGAUCCUGAUAGUCAUCCCCAGGCCUGACCGUUUGUCCUUGAGCCGUAGAUGGUCAACAAUCCGCUAGCUGUCUUGCUCUGACUGGUGCACUGGACAUGAUUUCAAUAGUCAGCCAGACCAUGAUUGAGCUUAAGGGUUGUGCUGCGGAUGCAGCCUGUGCAGUUCCGGGAGAAAGUCACUGUCUCGGGCAAUGCGGUCUGGUAUCAGGUCUGGAUGAUCCUUGCCUGACUGCGGGUUUGUGUACACCUCAAUCCGACUCUGUGUCCUGAACAGAGGCCGCAGUGGUGCAGCGCUUGUGGACGAUCCAUCAACAUCCUGAAAGGUCAACACUACACCAAGCUGGGAAAAUUGAUCCUGAUAGUCAUCCCCAGGCCUGACCGUUUGUCCUUGAGCCGUAGAUGGUCAACAAUCCGCUAGCUGUCUUGCUCUGACUGGUGCACUGGACAUGAUUUCAAUAGUCAGCCAGACCAUGAUUGAGCUUAAGGGUUGUGCUGCGGAUGCAGCCUGUGCAGUUCCGGGAGAAAGUCACUGUCUCGGGCAAUGCGGUCUGGUAUCAGGUCUGGAUGAUCCUUGCCUGACUGCGGGUUUGUGUACACCUCAAUCCGACUCUGUGUCCUGAACAGAGGCCGCAGUGGUGCAGCGCUUGUGGACGAUCCAUCAACAUCCUGAAAGGUCAACACUACACCAAGCUGGGAAAAUUGAUCCUGAUAGUCAUCCCCAGGUAGUGGAAUGAAUGUUCACUGAACUACAGAGGAAUCACACCCAAAUGACUUUCCUGCCAGGACAUUAGUGUGGCCACUCGCGUAGGAAUUCCUUAGCAAACAUGCUCUUUUGCAUGGUGACUGUGGACAUUUUUGCAAAACUUACGCUUUCAACUCUGGAUUUUAAAGAGAAUACUUAAUAAAAUGUCGCUAACAGGACUUAUUUAUAUGAGAGAGACUAUCUGGAUGCGCAUUAAGUGUCACUUUGUGUCGUAAGCUGUUGAAGGAGCGAUUUGCGCCUUUUUAAGUGUUAAUUUUGGGUAGCUGGCUUGUAUCGGCUUGAAAGCUGAAAAUUAUGCCUCUCAUCAUAAUAGCAUUAAUUUUUGUAAUUGCAAUGUGUAUGUUUAGAUUGUAAGUGAAGCUUUUAAUAAUAAUUUUCUUAAAAAACAUGAUUUUA